rnacentral:rRNA from 1 species
GACGAACGCUGGCGGCGUGCCUAAUACAUGCAAGUAGAACGCUGAAGAGAGGAGCUUACUCUUCUUGGAUGAGUUGCGAACGGGUGAGUAACGCGUAGGUAACCUGCCUUGUAGCGGGGGAUAACUAUUGGAAACGAUAGCUAAUACCGCAUAACAAUGGAUGACACAUGCCAUUUAUUUGAAAGGGGCAAUUGCUCCACUACAAGAUGGACCUGCGUUGUAUUAGCUAGUAGGUGAGGUAAUGGCUCACCUAGGCGACGAUACAUAGCCGACCUGAGAGGGUGAUCGGCCACACUGGGACUGAGGCACGGCCCAGACUCCUACGGGAGGCAGCAGUAGGGAAUCUUCGGCAAUGGGGGCAACCCUGACCGAGCAACGCCGCGUGAGUGAAGAAGGUUUUCGGAUCGUAAAGCUCUGUUGUAAGUCAAGAACGGGUGUGAGAGUGGAAAGUUCACACUGUGACGGUAGCUUACCAGAAAGGGACGGCUAACUACGUG